UACAGAGGUCUCAAGCGUUGUUCGGAUUCAUUGGGCGUAAAGGGUGUGUAGGUGGCGCGGUAAGUCGGGUGUGAAAUCUCGGAGCUUAACUCCGAAACUGCAUUCGAUACUGCCGUGCUUGAGGACUGGAGAGGAGACUGGAAUUUACGGUGUAGCAGUGAAAUGCGUAGAUAUCGUAAGGAAGACCAGUGGCGAAGGCGGGUCUCUGGACAGUUCCUGACGCUGAGGCACGAAGGCCAGGGGAGCAAACGGG
rnacentral:rRNA from 1 species